AUACGUAGGGGGCAAGCGUUAUCCGGAUUUACUGGGUGUAAAGGGAGCGUAGACGGCAGUGCAAGUCUGAAGUGAAAUCCCGGGGCUUAACCCCGGAACUGCUUUGGAAACUGUGCAGCUGGAGUGCAGGAGAGGUAAGCGGAAUUCCUAGUGUAGCGGUGAAAUGCGUAGAUAUUAGGAGGAACACCAGUGGCGAAGGCGGCUUACUGGACUGUAACUGACGUUGAGGCUCGAAAGCGUGGGGAGC
rnacentral:rRNA from 1 species